ensembl:lncRNA
GGUAUACAAAACCUUCCAGCAGCGUCGGAUCUUCCAGUCACUCAUCGAAGCUGCCGUGUUUAGAGCGCCAGUUACUUCCCUACCGCAAUCCCUUCAGCUGCCCUUCUAGGCAGCUGUGAACCGGAAAACAGAUGUUGAAGGAUGGAAAAUUCUGCCCAUACGUCGUGAAGAGCUCACUUGGGAAGUUUCCUAACGCAGAGAUAAAUUAGGAAGCAGAUCCUGGUGCCGGAUCUUGGUAUACAAGUUUGUUUCCGAAGAGCCCAGGGUUGAAAAUUAACUUCAGGACAAAACACCGCAGUCCAGAAGAGUGGUGGUGGUAGCCAGAGGCUUUUUUCUUCGGAUGACAAAACUGAUGGGGCAGGAUGUGGCAGCCCAACUGUGUGCCUGUGCUCCAGGCUAACUAGUUUUCCUGGGUUUGGAUCCUGUGUUCAGAGACCCACUGGGUUGUUUGACCAAGAAAGGCUCCGUUUUCCCUCUUCCAGAGGGAGCAAUCACGUGCCCUCACCAGAACAAGCCGGAGUCCUCGGCCCUGCAUGCAAUCUGAUUUCUCUCAGAGCCUGGAGCAGCCCGCACACCAUCUGCGUCCACGUUCGUGGGACUACGAAGUGCUGACACAGGACUGCAGCUCGGGGCCUGCGGCUUGCCAGGGUGUUUUGCAGAAGCCUACCGAGCCAGUCGUGGGUAUGAGUCAUCUGGCUGUGGGCCUGAGACUCAAUGAAGAGAGUGAAAAUGCUACAGGCAAAACUCUGGUACGAAGGCCCCACCGUGGACUCUCUCGAGGUGUUCCCAUUUGGGCGUCUUCACCAUGCCAACAGGAGAGAGAUACUUUCAUUGUUUGAUGUACCCUUAUUAUUCCCAGGUACCAUGUGGUCAAAAGCCUCAUAGAAAUGGGUUUGUAGUUAUUAGAAUCAAUGACCUUUGGAACGUGAUUAAUCUUUCCUUUAUGUCCCUGUCAGUAAAAUUAAAAUAAUAUUUACACCACCGACUGCAGCAUGGGCAGAAGGAUAAAAUGAAAUGAUAUUAGUAAUCGCAAACUCAGGAUGCUUACUCUGUACCGGUUACUGCUCUGAGCACUUUACAUACAUUAACUCAUCUAUUCUUCUAAAAACCUCCGAAGGUGGGCACUACUAUGUAUUUUACCAGCUGCAACAUCUUCCUUUUCUAAUUCAUCCUACACAUUCCAACCAAGAAUCUACACAUUUAGCACAAAAGUCACGCAACUGAAUGAUAGCGCGGGGACAUGACUGAGGCAGUCUGGUUCCACACAAUACCGACAUCUCAGAGAUUUUGACAGCACUUUGCCCAUAGUAAAUGACAAAGGCCUGGAAGGAUCACGUAUACUUUGGCUUUCUACCUGUGGGUAAGAGGAGUCUAAGUGGAUUGGGAAUUCCCACUCGGAACCCAGAGAGGAAAGGAAUCAAAAGCUGGUUUUGUUUUGUAAUAAGAUUGUUUAAGGAAGUCUGUGAAAUAUAGUCAGCCUGAGAAUAGACACAAGGAAGGUGGAAUUGGAAACCAGAUUUUAUACGUAGCAGAACUGGAAACGGGGGGCCAUUUCUGCAUUCAUCCAUCCACUCACCAUCUGGCGUUAUGCUAACAGUGAAACACAGAUGAAAAAGAUGCAGUUUUUGUUGUUGUUGUUUGUCUUAAAAUGCCCACUGUCUAGUGGGGGAAGGCAACAGGUAUUGGCUAUCAUUCUGCUGUCUACUGGCAUGAACUUGAGUGAGUCUCUCGGUUGCUUUGAGCCACUAUUCCCCCAUUUGCAAAUGAGGAUGCACUCUGCGACAUUGCACGGUUUCUGGGGCCAUUAGAAAUGGGCUGUAUCAACUGUCUGCAGCCAGUCAUCAUUGAAAAAAUAGCGGCUAGGUCACGAAGGUACAGCGUGGAGAGAACUGAAGCUGGAGAACCAAACUGCACACUCUAGGAACGGUCACAUGGCAGUUAUUUAGCAGGGACAUGGGAUGGGUGGUUUUUCAUGUUAGCAAAUUUCCCUUGGUAGCGGGAUGGCAGCUGAACUGCACAGGGACUAAGUUGAAGAACAGAACAUCCUUUAGGAAAGUAUUAAAAAACAGAGAACGAGGGCCUACAAGGUAAAGAGAGGUUGUGGAUUUGGAACAGAGACAAGAGAAAUUUUGGAGAUAGAUAGAUUUUCUUACCUCUUAAAUAGGGCUAUUUUGUGGGGUUUAAAAAUGGAAUCUUAGGGAAGAGCAAACAUGAAAAUAAGUAUUUUAUUUUAUUUUAUUUUAUUUUUGCAGACAAAUCCUAUUUAGAACAUUUCUCUUGAUUUUGAGGCAAAGGAAAGAUAGGUGUUCUGGGUGUCACUUUUCUGCCUCUGAGCUCUCUCCGUCUCCCCUAACAAAGGGUCAGCAGGGAUCACUUUAUUUUGGGCCUUUGGCACCCUUUGACAACAACUUUCUAGAACAUACCUCACCACAUUGCACUUAUUUUUUAUGACUGCCUCCCCCAGCAGAUGGAACACUCAGUGAAUGGUGAGUGUCUUUUUUUCCGAAUGCCCAGUAUUUAGAUAAUGUGUGGCACUGAGCAGGUAUUCAGUGAAUGUUUGUUGAAUACACGAAUGAGUGUGCCAACAAGAGCGUAGCAGUUAAGCACAAGAUCCCUGGAGUAGGACUGAUAGGUUUUGAAUCCUGAUUCUCCACCGGUUACUGGCAGAACAACAACCGUCUAAACCCGGUUCCUCAUCUAUGAAAUGGAAAUGACAAUAUCAUAGUACUGCAGUGAGGCAAAAUGACACAAAUGUAUGCAAAGUGCCCAGCCUACUCCCUGAUACACAAUAAAUCUUUAUUUAAUUAAAUGAGAGCUACCACCAUCACAAUCAGUAUUAUUAUCACGAAGACAACUGGACUUUUAAUGCCUAACCAUUUUCCCCCCAUCCCUCUACUCUCUGCUGCUCAAUAUAGCCCUGAUUUGGAAAAUUGAAUGGAUGGAAACAAUGAUUAUAUUACCUAAACUUGAAAAGCAAUAGAAUAAACUGACUUUUCUUUCACUCUUCCAGCUUACUCUCUUACUAUUUGCCCUCAUGCAAUCAAAGCCCUA